rnacentral:rRNA from 1 species
UACAGAGGGUGCUAGCGUUAAUCGGAAUUACUGGGCGUAAAGGGCGCGCAGGCGGUCAUGCGAGUGUGAUGUGAAAGCCCCGGGCUUAACCUGGGAAGUGCAUCGCAAACGGCAUGACUGGAGUAGAUGAGAGGGUGGCGGAAUUUCCGGUGUAGCGGUGAAAUGCGUAGAGAUCGGGAGGAACACCUGCGGCGAAAGCGGCUCACUGGACCAUAACUGACGCUGAUGCACGAAAGCUAGGGGAGCAAACAGG